rnacentral:rRNA from 1 species
CCUACGGGCGGCUGCAGUGGGGAAUUUUGGACAAUGGGCGCAAGCCUGAUCCAGCCAUUCCGCGUGAGUGAAGAAGGCCUUCGGGUUGUAAAGCUCUUUCGCAAGGGAAGAAAACUUAUCCUCUAACAUAGGAUGAGGUUGACGGUACCUUGAUAAGAAGCACCGGCUAACUACGUGCCAGCAGCCGCGGUAAUACGUAGGGUGCUUACGUUACGCGGAGCUACUGGACGUUAAGCGUGCGCUGGCUGGUGAAAUCCCCGAGCUCAACUUGGGAACUGCGUUUGAAACUACAAGACUAGAAUAGGUCAGAGGGGGGUAGAAUUCCACGUGUAGCAGUGAAAUGCGUAGAGAUGUGGAGGAAUAUCAAUGGCGAAGGCAGCCCCCUGGGAUCAUAUUGACGCUCAUGCACGAAAGCGUGGGGAGCAAACAGGAUUAGAUACCCUUGUAGUC